rnacentral:ncRNA from 2 species
ACUGGGGCUAAGUCGUAACAAGGUAGCCGUACCGGAAGGUGCGGCUGGAACACCUCCUUU